UCUUUCCACUAGACCACAUUGCUUCCUUUUUCUUGGGCAACACUUAUCACUGUUGCCCCGGGCCUUCAUACAUGGCCGGCCAUAUUACAUCUUCCUGUUUCCUGCUCAGGUUUAGUGUGUUUAAAAUUUUAAAGGACAUCCUUUGAAUUGGCUCUGAAAUGGCAGUUUCUUUAACUUUUUUUUUAUGAUAUGUUCUACUGUCUUAAGAACACACUGGUUAAAGAGGUAUGAUUAUGGUUAUUGUCUUCUUUACUGUCCAACCUAUUUAGACUGGGGGAUCGCACCGUAAGUCCUCGGUGUUUCCCGUUGUGUUAUUCUUUGGACAACUUCUCUGCCACAGCUGCCUGAACUCCCUCCCACCCCCUUUUUCUGUAGAAAAGAGCUGAAACGAAGACUGUCUUCAGGUAGAACCCUUCCCAUAGUGGAAGUUACUCCUUGCUGUGGGUAAUAGGCCUUGGUCCCUGACUGAGAGAUUUUAAACUUCCUUUCUACCCACUUUCUCCCCGUACAGACUGUAACUUAUUCUUCUCAUCCUCCUGUAGCUUCUUUCAGCCUCAGGGGAUAAGGACAUGAGGGGAAUUCCCCCAGUCUUCCAGCCACUCCCAGCAUCGUGCUGCUUCUUUUUUUUUUUAAAGUGUGUUGAACCCCCUGAAGUGUAGGUGUGACCCUCUACCCCUGUACAGAGAUGGGGCUAGAGUAGGGCAUAGAAGAGUAGUAUUUAUGUGCCAGGGUGUUUCCUGGCCCAAUGGAAGGGAUGUGUUGUUCUAUCUUUCCCCCGGCACUCUCUGGCCAUCCUGUGUUAUUUGAAAAUCUGGUCCUGCACUGGGAGCUGCUGGGAACGGAGAGGGAAAGCCCCUUGCUUGGUUCCAGGCCACUGGCCAGUCCACAUUGGUUUAGAACAACACAUGCAAGUAUGUAGCCUUGUGCUUUCCUGGGCAAUUGUAACUUUGCCCAAAUGAGUGAUAAUUUCCCUACGUAUUCCAAGAGUCUAGCUAAUGAGUAAGUUGCCUUCUGGUUACACUUUGUCCUCCGAUUUGAGCAUGUCCCCAUCCACGUUUUUACUCCCAUCCUGGGGAUUAUUCACUGAUCAACUUUUGCUGUGACUUUGAGGAGAUGGGCAGGACUACUAAAAUCAUGCCCUUACAGAAUUUGUAAGGAGGAAUUGGUAGGAAUGGACCCGAUGUUUGAAGAGCUCUUGGAAGAGAUGAGCAUAACAGAAAUCGCGAUCUUCAGCUGCUCAUGCGGUGGAGUCACACGAGGUGGACAUGGUCUCGCCGAAGCCGUUUAUAGCCUUAUCGGAGAUGCAUCAACAAACGCACUGGGAAGGAGGGACUCGAGACUAGUGACGAGCAGUGGAUGCGUCUCUUUUUCUCUGACAACUAUGUUGCAUUUGUAGAAUGAGGCAGCUCAGCUGGAAAGGAAAACGCAAGCUGUGGCUGCACAAAAUUGGGCUCGAGAUGAAUGAGCACAUCGGAAAUGCCAGCAGGCCAUCCAGCCCAGUCUUUUGUCUCUGAUAAUGGCAACAGGAGACUUGGAGCAGUGUGAUGAUUACCAUUUCCCACACUGCCACCCCUUUGGUUAACGUUUCCCUCGAACAUCCCUACCUGUUCUUCUAACCCAUUACUGACUUCUCGUUCAUGAAUUUAGCCAAACUCCUCUUAAAGCGGCUGAUAAUUCCUUCCUACGCAACUCCCUGUGUUAACCCAUUCCAUAUGUUGAUCAACGUCUGCCUUAAAAAUUGCUUCCUUCAGUUGAUCUUAAAUACCUUCAAACUUCAGGGGGUCCCCUGUUGCCCUUGCGGGGAGGGGCCUGAACAGCAAUUCUUUGUUAAUCCUGUCCACACCCUAAAUGAUUUUAAAUAAUUUGGUGUCUCCUUAUAUGUUGGUUUCUCCAUCCCCCUGAUCAUUUUGGUUGCCCUUUCCUAUACCUUGACCAGCUCUAUUACGUCCUUUCUGAGAUGCAGUGACUAAGACGGUGUACAGUAUUCCAAAUGUGGGCAUACUGUGGUUUUAUAGAAUGGCAAAGCUCUAUCUUUUUUUUCUCCCCUUGCUGGUGAUGCCCAGCAUUCCAUUGACUUUUUUGGCUGCUGCUGUACACCGGACCGACGAUUCAGAAGAAUGGUUAGCACUAACUGAAAUCCCUCUCCUGGGCUGCGACCGAUUGCUCCGAAGCCCUUGGUGUGUAAUUGUAAUUUUCCGAGGUGCAUGACCUUGCAUCUGCCUCGUACUGAAGCUCGUCUGCUCUUCUCCAUCCUACUCGUUCAGUUCUCCGAGGUCUGCCUGCAGUUUAUCCCCAUCGGCAAGGCUUUUAACCACCUGGAAGAACUUAAUAUCAUCUGCAGACUUGGAGACUUUCAUUGCACGUCUCCUUGAAAUAGAAUAAAAGAGUGUCUCAUCGGUUUGCAUUCCUGGAAGGCUGAAUGAGGGUCAAUCGUAUGAAAGAUAUGAUAGGACUGAAUCUGAGAGAGAGUUAAUUGGUGAAAUUAGGACCCUGCAGGACCAAAAAUCUCAAGCCCAGCCUAGCCAAAAGGGGGCCUUCUAACUGGCUCACAAUCUGUCUUUCUCUUAGCCAGGUUCAGCCAGGCUCAACAUGAUUUCCAGGAGGAGGGAAAGGCGGGGACCAGGGAACUUCCAUAAAGGCAUACCCCGGGUUCAAUCAUCCCACGAUCCAACCACCCCUGGGGAUGCAGCCAGUAUUGCUUGAUGCCUUGCCCUGGGUUACCACCGUCCCAGGGAUACGACCUGUAUUGCUUGACGCCUCACCUCGCAUAUAUGCCUGACCGGCCCCGGCGAACCGGCCGAGCACUCAGUAGGCUAUGAACAUCAUCCAAAGUCCUAGAGUCAGUCAUUCAAGUAAUUUCCUUGUGCCGAUUACUGCACCGUAGAGGCACACUCCCAAGAAGAUGCAAAUGAUUGUAAACUCCUUUGCCGUAUCAGCUAGCCACUGUGGAGAAAAGGGAUGUAUCAGUCUGCACCAGGGAAGCCCUAUGCUGAGCCAGAAAGAUGUAGACAGCGGUCACAGAAUCGUCAUCUCAGCAGCAUGUUGUCCAACAAUGGAGUGAUAGACAAGGGAGUAGAAACUUGAAUUGAGAAGGUCAGCAAUCAGACAAUCACCGAUAGCGGACCUUCUGAACCUGCCCAGAGGUAUGAGUGACCGUCUGAUGAUGCCCUAUCUGCCACUGAAAGAGAAGGGCCAUGCCACCAUUUUCAGCACAUGUGCCCUCACAGUGACAGUAGAGAAAAGGAACAAUUCUACCAAGAUUUAGAUAAACUCAAGACAAGAGUAGCCACAGCUGAAAAACUGUUUUGAAAGGGUGAUUUUAAUGUUCGAGUUGGUGGUGAUGCUCAAACUGCGGAGAAGGUCACUGGGGGCUGUCGAACAAUGUGGCAGCAGCCUGUUACUGGGCUCUCCAGCAAACCACAGGUCUACAGAGCUCUAGUGCGGGCUGCCCUUCUUUACGCUUGUGACACUCGGGCUCCCCACAGCACCACAUCCGACACCGUGAAACCUUCCUCUGUAUCACUCGUAAGCCAUACCGAACAUCACGUCACAAGGCAGGAUUACAGCCAGUGAAGUCCAAGAGCAUGGUCAGCCUUCUAGCACUGAAGCUCUGCUCACUGCAAUCCAGUUUUGCCAAGUGGGACAUGGGAGGAGAACAGGUGACAGUAGGAUGACAGGAUACCCAAGCAGAUGCUAUAUCCUGAGUUAAAAUUGGGAAACAGAUCAAAGAGGGCAGGGGAAAUUUUUUAAAGAUGCAGUAGAACAGGGCAUCAGUGCUGAUUUCAGCUGAAAAUUGGGAAUCUGUUGGCACAGAGAGGCCAGCGUGGCACACUGCAGUUAAGGAAGGAAUCAAAGCUUCGGAAGGAUCGGAAGACAAGGAGGCCAAGCUCCGAGCACAACGGAGGACAGUUUUUGUGUGCGCAGAGUGUGGUCGGGACUGUGGGCCCUGCAUUGACCUUUUUCACUGUCCCCAGGGAUCCUCAUCUGUCAGUGGCAUUUUUAUUAAAUUCAUAGGACAAGUCUAUAUACGGCUGGAUCGGAUCAUGGUUCGACCCGUGAUCUCAGGUUCUCAAUUUCUCGAAGCUCUAGUAUUUAGUAAAUGUUCAUGUGUACAUGGCACAGUUCCAGUACCUACCAUAAUGAAUAAAGUCAGCGAGAUUCCUCCUUCCCACCA